AACCGGUGAGAUGGAAACGGAUAGAGCUAGCGUAUCUGGCCUGCAUUCAACUGCAGGGUCGUGGUCGUCGGGGUUUCUGCCUCCAGAUUGGGGUGAUGCUUCGGCUGGCUGCGGCUUGGUGGUGCAUUUGCAGGUGGAGUGCGCCGAGACGCACGGAGCAGCGGCAUUAGCUCAUCAUUGAGGCCAGCUCGCAAGAGUCUGGUACCCGUGCUGGGGGAGUGCUGUUUGUUCUGGGUGUGACUGAAAGCAUGGCCUACGGGCUUGUGGGGGUGCCGAGCUGGCUGUCGGUUACGGUCGCAUGCGACACGUGCCUGUGGCUAGUUCGGUCCUGCUCAAGCUCUCGUGCUCAAUCUCGGUGUAAAAGCUGGUCAUCUAUCCNACCCGUCUUGAAACACGGACCAAGGAGUUUAUCGUGUGCGCGAGUCAUUGGGCGUUGAAAACCCAAAGGCGAAAUGAAAGUGAAGGUUUCCGUAAGGAGCUGACGUGCGAUCCCGUGUGCCUCGGUGCAUGGGCGCAGCAUGGCCCCAUCCCGACUGCUUGCAGUGGGGUGGAGGUAGAGCGUACGCGGUGAGACCCGAAAGAUGGUGAACUAUUCCUGANCAGGAUGAAGCCAGAGGAAACUCUGGUGGAAGUCCGAAGCGAUUCUGACGUGCAAAUCGAUCGUCUGACUUGGGUAUAGGGGCGAAAGACUAAUCGAACCAUCU
rnacentral:rRNA from 1 species